UCUGCCCGAAAGGGGGCGCGAUCUGGCGGGUGCUCCUCUUCCUCGCUCCCCAGUCCGCGCCUCGCUGGGCUCAGCACCCCGGCCCCCGGCGGGACGGAGGCUCGGGUCCAAAGCAGUGGCUGCACCGACACGAACCCGUCUGCGUUUCUCCACCUGUCUUCCCUCGCCACCUGCAUCUACUAUGGUCUCUAAAUGCCUCGCUUUGUACUUUGUGGCUUUCUGGCAGCCCUUUAAAGCAGCGGUGAAAGAAAGGAGAGAGUCAAGACACGGGAGAAAAUGUUUCAUCCCGGGUUCUUCUAGUGGUGCCCGCCUUGACACGACUCGGGGGACUGCCUAAGCAAAAGGUGGAAAAGAUGGAGCUGGAAGACAAAGACGGCUCCGGAUUCCAAAACUUCAAUGGCGUCGCCAAAUUGACGAGCUCAUUAACCUUUGGAGUAUUGUUAUUUAAAAAGUAGGAAAUAAAAGAUAAAUGUGGAAAUAUUUAAUAAAAGAAAAACGUAAGCUCUCAAUUUUCUUUAUUACUUUUUUUUUUUUGAGACGGAGUCUCUCGCUCUGUCGCCCAGUGGCACGAUCUUGGCUCACUGCAAGCUCCGCCUCCCGGGUUUACGCCAUUCUUCUGCCUCAGCCUCCCGAGUAGCCGGGACUACAGGCGCCCGUCACCACGCCCGGCUAAUUUUUUCUAUUUUUUUGGUAGAGACAGGGUUUCACCGUGUUAGCCAGGAUGGUCGCGAUCUCCUGACCUCGUGAUCCUCCCGCCUCGGCCUCCCACAGUGCUGGGAUUACAGGAGUAAGCCACCACCGCUCCCAGCCGAUUUCCUUUAUUUUUUUUCUGGUCCUUGUUUAGCCAUGAUCCAUCGCAGGCUGAGCCCUGACAAACGCAAAGCCUUCCAAACUGGGAAAUUGAGAAAGUUAUUUUCAUCAAUGAAUGUAGAGGCGUCACACUUCUGCCGAAAUAGCUCCACUGGGAAGCAUGCUCUGCUGAAGAUCUCAAAGUUCACGGACUGAUUUCCAGUUUUAUUCUGUCUUCACUCCUGCCGGAUAAUUUGACUUCCCUUAGAUGACGUUACAGAAGUAAUUUUACCUAAGACAGGUGCGCCCUCUAUCGUAAGGAUAUCUUUCAGACUCUUGGUCCACACAAGAGUUGGUGGCACCGGAGAGCUUGUUAGAAGAGCGAAAUCUCAGCUUCACCUCAGACGUACUGAACCAGAAGUAGCAAUUUAACAAGAUCCACAAGAGAUUCUUUUGCACAUUUAAGAAGCAAUAUGACGUGCUUUGACGUGGAUGGAGUAAGGGUGUAUAGUAUAAAUACGCGGCUGUGUUUUUUCCCCCAAUUUUCUAUUCUAACAGAAAACAUAAUUGCAAAAAAUAUAUAUUUCUAUUGCUGAAUCAU
rnacentral:lncRNA from 1 species